GAUGAACGCUGGCGGCGUGCCUAAUACAUGCAAGUCGAACGCUGAAGGAGGAGCUUGCUCUUCUGGAUGAGUUGCGAACGGGUGAGUAACGCGUAGGUAACCUGCCUGGUAGCGGGGGAUAACUAUUGGAAACGAUAGCUAAUACCGCAUGACAACAGUUAUUGCAUGAUAACUGUUUAAAAGGGGCAACUGCUCCACUACCAGAUGGACCUGCGUUGUAUUAGCUAGUUGGUGAGGUAACGGCUCACCAAGGCGACGAUACAUAGCCGACCUGGGAGGGUGAUCGGCCACACUGGGACUGAGACACGGCCCAGACUCCUACGGGAGGCAGCAGUAGGGAAUCUUCGGCAAUGGACGGAAGUCUGACCGAGCAACGCCGCGUGAGUGAAGAAGGUUUUCGGAUCGUAAAGAUCUGUUGUGAGAGGAGAACGAGUGUGAGAGUGGAAAGUUCACACUGUGACGGUAGCUUACCAGAAAGGGACGGCUAACUACGUG
rnacentral:rRNA from 1 species